rnacentral:rRNA from 1 species
AGGAUGAACGCUGGCGGCGUGCCUAACACAUGCAAGUCGAACGUCCUGUCUCGCAAGAGGCAGGGAGUGGCGGACGGGUGAGUACCACGUGGGUCAUCUACCGUGAGGUGAGGAAUACCGGCGAGAAAUCGCCGACAAGACCGCAUAGCCUCGGUGCAAGCCGAGGAAAGCUCUCUCGAGAGAGGGAGCGCCACACGAGGAGCCUGCGCCCGAUUAGCUAGCUGGUGGAGUAACGGUUCACCAGGGCGACGAUCGGUAGCUGGUCUGAGAGGACGAUCAGCCACACUGGGAUUGAGAACGGCCCAGACUCCUACGGGGGGCAGCAGUGAGGAAUUUUCGUCAAUGGGGGCAACCCUGAACGAGCAACGCCGCGUGCAGGAAGAAGGUUUUCGGAUCGUAAACUGCUUUUCUCGGGGAAGAGAACGGACGGUACCCGAGGAAUCAGCCCCGGCUAACUACGUGCCAGCAGCCGC